ensembl:lncRNA
CGGAAAUCCACCCCUGCCAAAAUUUUCCCCCCCAUUGGCGUGAACGCCCACACACUAAAUUUUUCAUUGCUGCUACUUGCUGAGAAGCCCCUGACUGCAGGGUGCAGUUCUCGGCCGGGCUCAAUGUGGGCGGAGUCAAACGGUUUAACCCAAAACCUUCCCAUCUCCUUCGAGGUCACGCAAGUUGAGGUAAAGUCAAUGGUGUCAACGAAAGCGAAUCUCAAUCGAACCUAACCUACAUGGAUAGCACUAUAAACCAUGGAAGGCCUACCAAAGUAAGGUUUCUCAAGCAACUGUGAGAUGUUUGUUUUGAUGAUGAUACUGAAAACAAAAUGCACGACGAGCUGUGUCCUGGGAAGCAGAUGUUCUUCUAAGGGACACCCUAGAGGCAGCAAGGUGAUGUGAACUCCAAACAUUUAAAGGCACUGUUCCCCUCCCUAGUGUAAUUGGGAUGGAAGGGGAAGACCGCAUUACAACCCUUAAAGAACUACAGUUGUAUGAUGGCCUGGAUGAAGAGAAAAAUGUUCUCCUCAAGGAACCAUUCAUGUUACAGAGAGAUUAUAAUUUGUUCUAUUUGGAGGCAGUUGACAACAAGAAAAUUACUGUCUUUGUCUUUUGAGGAGCAAAGCCAUUUUUGAGGAGUGGUCAAACUUUGUCUGCUGUGUUAAUUGUUUCAAUUGUUAAUUGUGUUAUGUUUAGUAAAGAUGACGUAGAAGUCACCCGAGUCUCUGAUCUCUUCACUGGAGCUGGUAUAACUUAAUGUACAAAGCACAUUCAGCUUGUCAGUAUGUCUAUAUGGUAUAGUCUGUCUCCAUUCUCAUGAGGAAAGUAAAUAACAUUAUAAAUCAGGAUGGGUAGUAACUGUGUGUAUAUGCUCAAUUAAAUAAUAUAAUUACAAAGUUAUAACAUUUAUCAACACAAUUUUAACAGUAAAUAACAAGUCUGCUGUUCACUGCAACUAUCAGUAGUUUGUCUCAAAUAUAGCAUGAAGCAAAAAGUGUUACAUCUGCUGGUACUUGUAAGAAAUAUUAUAUAAAUCUUCAAAAAUGAAAUAUGUUUGUAUUCAACUUGUGCCUUGCGCAAAUGUGUGUUACUGUCAAACAUCAGAUGGACAAAAAAAUGUGGGCAGGGUCAAAUGUGAGCAGAGUCAAACGUUUGACUCCACCCACAUUGAACCCAGCCCCGAAUUGCACACUGCAGUCAGGGGUACUUGGACUUGCUUGCUGGUUGAGAUUUCUGCUCUUCACUCCAUUGUCAGUUUAGCCUACAUUUCACUGAUCAUAGGAGCAGAAAUGGUUUUUUAUUUGUGUCCUUCAAGGCAGCUGUCAAUGAUCACGUUAGGCUGUGUUUCAUUUGAUUUGUUAUGGCGGUUUGAUCGCAGAGGAGACACUAGUAAUGUCUGCAGUUUUCGGUUUGUCAUUUUGUUUCAAAUGUAUUAGUCUAAUAAUAAAUCUCUUCGCCAAAAUUAA